rnacentral:rRNA from 1 species
GACGAACGCUGGCGGCGCGCUUAACACAUGCAAGUCGAGCGAAGCGGCGGACGGUUGAGUAACACGUGAGUAACCUGCCUUAGACAUUGGGAUAGCUUCGGGAAACCGGGAUUAAUACCAAAUGGUCUAAGAUGGACUCGCUUCCCAUUAGCUAGUUGGUGGGUAACGGCCCACCAAGGCGACGAUGGGUAGCCGGGCUGAGAGGGUGAACGGCCACAUUGGAACUGAGAAACGGUCCAAACUCUACGGGAGGAAGCAGUGGGGAAUAGUGCACAAUGGAGGGAACUCUGCUGCGGCGAGGCCGCGAGAACGAAGAAGGCUUGCGAGUAGUAAAGUUCUUUUAUAUGGGAAGCGGUACCAUAAGAAAAAGCCACGGCUAACUACGUGCCAGCAGCCGCGGUAAUAC